GAACGCACAUUGCGCCCUUUGGUAUUCCAAAGGGCAUGCCUGUCUGAGCGUCAAUAAAGUAAUCAAACCUUGGUUUGGUAUUGGGAGAAGUGGUAUUGCCUCUCUCCUUUAAGUUAUUGGCGACGCUAUUUCAGCUUGUAAGACGUAGUAAGUAAUUUCUCGUUAAAGCAACUGUAUAGAUGUCUGCCAACUGAACAAUUUAUUUUAUAAGCUUGACCUCAGAUCAGGUAGGGAUACCCCCUGAACUUA
rnacentral:misc_RNA from 1 species